rnacentral:rRNA from 1 species
AUUGAACGCUGGCGGCAUGCCUUACACAUGCAAGUCGAACGGUAACAGGUUAAGCUGACGAGUGGCGAACGGGUGAGUAAAGUAUCGGAACGUGCCCAAUAGUGGGGGAUAGCCCGGCGAAAGCCGGAUUAAUACCGCACGAGACCUGAGGGUGAAAGCGGGGGAUCGCAAGACCUCGCGCUGUUGGAGCGGCCGAUAUCAGAUUAGGUAGUUGGUGGGGUAAAGGCCUACCAAGCCUGCGAUCUGUAGCUGGUCUGAGAGGAUGACCAGCCACACUGGGACUGAGACACGGCCCAGACUCCUACGGGAGGCAGCAGUGGGGAAUUUUGGACAAUGGGCGCAAGCCUGAUCCAGCCAUGCCGCGUGCGGGAAGAAGGCCUUCGGGUUGUAAACCGCUUUUGUCAGGGAAGAAAUCUUCUGGGUUAAUACCUCGGGAGGAUGACGGUACCUGAAGAAUAAGCACCGGCUAACUACGUGCCAGCAGCCGCAGUAA